rnacentral:rRNA from 1 species
GAAAAUCCGAGGGAAAGAUCAUUUUCUCGCCUGGCCGUACUCAUAACCGCAGCAGGUCUCCAAGGUGAACAGCCUCUAGUCAAUAGAACAAUGUAGGUAAGGGAAGUCGGCAAAAUGGAUCCGUAACUUCGGGGAAAAGGAUUGGCUCUAAGGGUCGGGCUGGCGGGUCCAUGCGACCCUGGCGUGGUUUGGCGGAACGGCUUGCGGGCUGUUGUCCGACUAGGCGUCCCCCUUCACGGGGGGGUGUCGAAAGGAUGACGGCCUGUGAACGCCCGUCGGGCCGUGUCGGGGGCGUAUGGGGGGGCCGUCGGGUGCGGGGGGAACGCGGGCGCUCCGGGGCAACUCGGGGCGUUCGUGCCUCCUCGUGUCCGGCCAAGCCUUUGCUCCGCCAGCGACUAACGACCAGCUUAGAACUGUAACGGACAAG